ACCGCGGUAACUCAGUUGGUAGAGCAUCCGCCCGGUAAGCGGAGUGUCGUCGGUUCGAUUCUGGCUCGCGGCG
rnacentral:tRNA from 1 species